AUAUUAUCUGCAAAUUCAAUUAGAAGAUUUUAUUAUUAAAACAAAAUCAAUAUUAGAUUAAACUUUGUACAAAAGGACAUAUAUAUAAUGAUGAAUACAUUAUGCUGACUUUAUUGGCUUUCCCCAUGUUAGUAUCAGUUCAUAUUCCCUAUUUUUCAUCCAAAAACCAUUAAUUAGGAGUUGGGGACGGGGAUGGGGGAAAAUACUGUACGUCUUCCACCAUAUGAAAAAGUGAAAACAAUAUAUUCUUACUUCAAGAUUAUAUAUGCAAGGAAAAAAUAAUUACAAAUCUAAAUAUAGUUGAAGAAAUUCAACUAGAAUCAUAACAUAUAAGUAUGGGCUUCAAUUGCAGAUCCAAAGGUGUUUUGUUUGAGAAGAGAGUUCAAACCCAAGGAGAAUAAAUAGUCCAAAUACUACAACUAUUUGGUGCCCAGGUUGAAGUCCAGGGUAGAAAUAUUGGAGUAAAAAAUUUCAUCGUUGAAGAGGUACAAAUGGCGCUCAAAAGUGCCGAAACAAGGCCAAUUUCAGCCCUCAAGUGGAGCUGAAACUAGCAUCUCCUUACUUGCGCGAACUCGUGAUCUAGUAAUUGCUUGCUUAAAAUUCAUGACUUAGUAAUUGCUUUGUCAAACUCGUGAUUUAUAUAUUGUUCGAUAAUUUGUCAUUACUUUUAUGUAUCACUGUGUUUAAUGGUUUUUACCUAUUGUAAUAAUUGUUUACUCGAACUCUUGACUUAUAGGUCACAUGACAACUUUAUCAUCG
rnacentral:lncRNA from 1 species